UGGGGAAUAUUGGACAAUGGAGGAAACUCUGAUCCAGCAAUUCUGUGUGUGUGAAGAAGGUUUUAGGACUGUAAAACACUUUUAGUAGGGAAGAAAAAAAUGACGGUACCUACAGAAGAAGCAACGGCUAAAUACGUGCCAGCAGCCGCGGUAAUACGUAUGUUGCGAGCGUUAUCCGGAAUUACUGGGCGUAAAGAGCUCGUAGGUGGUUUGUCGCGUCGUCUGUGAAAUUCCGGGGCUUAACUCCGGGCGUGCAGGCGAUACGGGCUGACUUGAGUGCUGUAGGGGAGACUGGAAUUCCUGGUGUAGCGGUGAAAUGCGCAGAUAUCAGGAGGAACACCGAUGGCGAAGGCAGGUCUCUGGGCAGUAACUGACGCUGAGGAGCGAAAGCAUGGGUAGCAAACAGG
rnacentral:rRNA from 1 species